rnacentral:rRNA from 1 species
UACGUAGGGAGCAAGCGUUGUCCGGAAUCAUUGGGCGUAAAGCGCGCGUAGGUGGCCAUGUAAGUCCGCUGUGAAAGCCCCGGGCUCAACCUGGGAAUGGCAAUGGAUACUGGCGGGCUAGAGUGCGGUAGAGGGUAGUGGAAUUCCCGGUGUAGCGGUGAAAUGCGUAGAGAUCGGGAGGAACACCAGUGGCGAAGGCGGCUACCUGGACCAGCACUGACACUGAGGCACGAAAGCGUGGGGAGCAAACAGGG